AUUCUAGAAUGUCAUAGUGUUGGAAUCAUACAAAUGUGAUUUUGAAGAAAGGAGGAAAGAUGUGAAAAGUGAUUGGUCAGCCACAUUCAUGGUGUUGAGAAAAGAAUUUGCUUUUCUGGAACAUAGCCUGUGAUAGCAGAACAACACCUGGCAAGAAACAGGUUAUGUUUGGCUGGAGAGUCAUUGGCACUAUCAAGAAAUAUUAAAGUGUAGAUUUGAGAGAGGAGGAGAAAGACCCAAGCAAAAUUGAAAACCAGGUGGGACCCAGACAGCAGCAAAGCAAUGGAAGCAUGUAUUUUGGUCAAUAUAGAGUUAAUACACAAUUUUGCCCCUCUUCUUCUGAUCAUGGGACUCAUAUUACCAGUCUUCACAUUUCCUUUAAAUUCAGGAAUCAGGAAGAAUUUCCAGAGUUUGCAGAUGGACACAUUUGCUGCUUCCAUUCUAAACAUAAGUUAGAAGAACCUUUCAACUGGAUUCCAACUUUAAUAUGUCACAAACAUAAAAAAGAAAGCUAUUUCCUGGACUUUUCUUCAUUAGAAAUUAAUAGAUUGUCAAUUGGCAUAGGGAAAAGAUAAUCAACAGAUGCCAACCCCAAGUUAACAGAAAUGCUAAAAUUAUAAGACAAAGACUUCAAAAUAGCUAUUUUAAUUUUGCCUAGUGAGGUAAAUGCAAACAUGCUCACUAUGAAUGAAAACAGGUAAUCUCAGCAGUCAUGUAAACUAUAAAAAUAAGCAAAUAUAAAUUUUAGAAUUAAAACACAAUAUCUAAAAAUAAAUUCACCUGAUAUUCUCAAUAGAAAAAAUGGUAAUGCAGAGAAAAAUGUAUGAAAAUAUGGCAAUUUGAAGAA
rnacentral:lncRNA from 1 species